rnacentral:rRNA from 1 species
UUUAUGGAGAGUUUGAUCCUGGCUCAGGAUGAACGCUGGCGGCGUGCCUAAUACAUGCAAGUCGAGCGAACAGACGAGGAGCUUGCUCCUCUGACGUUAGCGGCGGACGGGUGAGUAACACGUGGAUAACCUACCUAUAAGACUGGGAUAACUUCGGGAAACCGGAGCUAAUACCGGAUAAUAUAUUGAACCGCAUGGUUCAAUAGUGAAAGACGGUUUUGCUGUCACUUAUAGAUGGAUCCGCGCCGCAUUAGCUAGUUGGUAAGGUAACGGCUUACCAAGGCAACGAUGCGUAGCCGACCUGAGAGGGUGAUCGGCCACACUGGAACUGAGACACGGUCCAGACUCCUACGGGAGGCAGCAGUAGGGAAU